CCCAUUGACCACCCUCUUAUUCCCUGUCCCCUGUUUCUGCUCUGGUACUGAUGUUUCCUGGAAACCUCUUUUAAAUAAAUGACUCAGCUCAAAUCCUUAUUUCAGGGUCUGCUUCUGGGAGACUCUGAUUAGGAAGCAUGUAAUCUGUGUCUCUCCUAUCACACUUAGCUCCUGGAGGGCCAGGCUGGGCUUUAUCUCUGUUCACACUCUGGUUGAGCCUCUGCCCAUUAAGAAUGAGGAAACGGUCAUUUAAUGAAGAGGCUUUGAAGACUAGGGAGAAGUAAGCUAUGGCCAGAUCACGCCACAGAUGGAACCUCUCACAGGCCCAGCAGGCAGGAGCUGGACCCCAACUCUGCUGCGGGCAAGAUCACUGCCGUUUUCCAAUAUCUGGUCUCCUGCUGUCUAGCAUGGUGGCUGCGGCAGCACCUAUUGAUGUGGAGGUGUGACAUUAAGACAUUAUGUGGAAGAAAGAUCCUGCCCUGGAGAGUCACCCAGACUCAAAUCACUGCUAUUUGAGGGCUAUUUGUCACUGUAUCAUGACCUGUCCUGUCCUGACUGAUACCAAGGCCCCCAUCAACAUGGAAAGGGGCUGUCUGGAAGAAGCUGUGCCCAUAAGCAAGAGUAUGGGGGCAGGGCAGGUGUCUCCCCAGGGCAGGGGCACCCUGGUUCCAAGAAGGAGCCACCAGCUUGAGCCAACAAAAUGUUCUCGGGGGGGAGGUAAGGGCUUUGGACAGAGACAAACCACCGUGCCCAAAUUUGAAGACUGGGGUCGGAUCAGAAAGGGAGUAAAGGUGGCUUGUGGGGGUUUUGGGGGAGAAGCUUAAACUAUGUCCAAAGCCUUGACAUUCUGGUGGCAUGCAAGGGGUAGGGGGAAUUUCCAACCACAACAUGCUGGAUUGAUUUGGACAAACAAAAUUUUGUCAAAUUUAAAAAUCACAAAAAAGCCCUGCUUUUCUUAAUUUUUAAUUUUUAAAGAUUUUAUUCAUUCACUCAUGAGAGACACACAGAGAGAGGCAGAGACACAGGCAG